rnacentral:lncRNA from 1 species
GGUUAGAUUAACGAGAGUCUUAUCUUUAAAUGGCUGUAAAAUAGUCAUAUGUUUGAGAAAUUGAAGUAAUAGGAUUUUUAAGGUUUUGAAAAUCGCGCCACAGGAUAGCCGUGCUGUUACGUAGGUGGGACGAAUUCGUCCCGCCUAGCCUAGAGAGGUUAAAUAACAGGACCGCAGAGAGAAACCAGUUACAGAAUAGUCUAAAUACCAGGACCACUGAGAGAGACCAGCUACAGAAUAGUCUAAAUACAAGGACCACUGAGAGAGACCAGCUACAGAAUAGUCUAAAUACUAGAACCACUGAGAGAAACCAGUUACAGAAAAGUCUCACAACCAAAACUAAAGACAGAGACCAGUUGCACAAUACUCUCAC